rnacentral:rRNA from 1 species
GACGAACGCUGGCGGCGUGCCUAAUACAUGCAAGUAGAACGCUGAAGGGAGAGCUUGCUCUUCUGGAUGAGUUGCGAACGGGUGAGUAACGCGUAGGUAACCUGCCUGGUAGCGGGGGAUAACUAUUGGAAACGAUAGCUAAUACCGCAUAACAUUGACUAUUGCAUGAUAGUCAAUUGAAAGGUGCAAAUGCACCACUACCAGAUGGACCUGCGUUGUAUUAGCUAGUUGGUGGGGUAACGGCUCACCAAGGCGACGAUACAUAGCCGACCUGAGAGGGUGAUCGGCCACACUGGGACUGAGACACGGCCCAGACUCCUACGGGAGGCAGCAGUAGGGAAUCUUCGGCAAUGGGCGGAAGUCUGACCGAGCAACGCCGCGUGAGUGAAGAAGGUUUUCGGAUCGUAAAGCUCUGUUGUAAGAGAAGAACGAGUGUGAGAGUGGAAAGUUCACACUGGACG